rnacentral:rRNA from 1 species
UUCGGGGAUGAUUGUUCUGUGACUGAGUGGCGGACGGGUGAGUAACGCGUGGAUAACCUGCCUCACACAGGGGGAUAACAGUUGGAAACGGCUGCUAAUACCGCAUAAGCGCACAGUACCGCAUGGUACAGUGUGAAAAACUCCGGUGGUGUGAGAUGGAUCCGCGUCUGAUUAGCUUGUUGGCGGGGUAACGGCCCACCAAGGCGACGAUCAGUAGCCGGCCUGAGAGGGCGACCGGCCACAUUGGGACUGAGACACGGCCCAGACUCC